rnacentral:rRNA from 1 species
UUCUAAAAAGCUAGCCCACCCCCUAAGAAAUCAACCCCCUUUAAACUUAACUCCCACAAAACAAUAAACAAACCAUUUUCCCUCCCUAGUACAUGGGCGACAAAAAAGGAUACCGUGAGCGAUAGAAAAAGUACCGUAAGGGAAAGCUGAAAGAGAAAUGAAACAACUACCCCCAGCUAAGAAAAGCAGAGAUAACCCCUCGUACCUUUUGCAUCAUGAUUUAGCCAGUAUGCCUGAGCACAGGGAACUUUAGUUCAGCCCCCCGAUACUAGACGAGCUACUUCAAGAUAGCCUAUGUUGGGCAAACCCGUCUCUGUCGCAAAAGAGUGGGACAAUCUUCAAGUAGAGGUGACAAACCUAUCGAGCCUAGUUAUAGCUGGUUGUCUGAGAAAUGAAUAUGAGUUCAGCCUCCCGACCCCCCUUAUCCAAGACAUCCGUCUCCUAAGAACAAGGGCGACCGAGAGAGUUAGUCAAAGAGGGUACAGCCCCUUUGAAAAAGGACACAACCUCCCUGGGAGAUAAAAGAUCACAGUAACUUAAGGAAACUUGUACUAGUGGGCCUAAAAGCAGCCACCUAAAGAAAGCGUUAAAGCUCAUACAAACACCGACCACUAAUACCGAACGAUUCUCUUCACUCCCCCCACACUAUCAGACCCUCCCACAAACCAUGGGAAAGACCCUGCUAAAAUGAGUAAUAAGAGCGAACUGCCGCCUCUCCACCGCAUACGUGUACCUCGGAACGGACCCACCGCCGACAAUUAACGAACCCCCACCCGAGGGGCAUGUAAUACUACCCAGAUAACAGGAAAACCAAACACACAACACCGUUAACUCAACACAGACAUGCAUGCCAGGAAAGACUUAAACAAAGGGAAGGAACUCGGCAAACAUAAGUCUCGCCUGUUUACCAAAAACAUCGCCUCUUGCAAAACGAACGAAUAAGAGGUCCCGCCUGCCCAGUGACAUUAGUUUAACGGCCGCGGUAUUUUGACCGUGCAAAGGUAGCGCAAUCACUUGUCUUUUAAAUGAAGACCGGUAUGAAUGGCAUCACGAGGACUUGACUGUCUCCCCUUUAAAGUCAAUGAAAUUGAUCUCCCCGUGCAGAAGCGGGGAUACACCCGUAAGACGAGAAGACCCUAUGGAGCUUAAGACAUAAAGUGACCCCCGUCAAACACCCCCUAAAAGGAAGAAAACUUGGAGGGACUCACCGAAAUGUCUUCGGUUGGGGCGACCGCGGGGAAAGACAAAACCCCCGCAUGGACUAAAGCUACCCUUGCUUUAAAACCUAGACCCACCUGUCAAAUUAACAGUACUUCUGACCACUAAGGACCCGGCCUACGCCGACCAAUGGACCGAGUUACCCUAGGGAUAACAGCGCAAUCUCCUACCCGAGCCCUUAUCGAAUAGGGGGUUUACGACCUCGAUGUUGGAUCAGGACAUCCUAAUGGUGCAGCCGCUAUUAAGGGUUCGUUUGUUCAACGAUUAAUAGUCCUACGUGAUCUGAGUUCAGACCGGAGUAAUCCAGGUCAGUUUCUACCUACGUCUUGAUCUUUUCUAGUACGAAAGGACCGAAAAGAGGAGGCCCCUGUCAAAAACACGCCUCACCCCUCACUAUUGAAUCCAAAUAAAAUAGGAAGGGACCAAAAUCCUUUACCCUAAAUCAGGGUU